CAACCUCAACUCAUAUGGGACUACCCCCUGAAUUUAAGCAUAUUAAUUAGGGGAGGAAAAGAAACUAACAAGGAUUUUCUUAGUAGCGGCGAGCGAAAAGAAAACAGUUCAGCACUAAGUCACUUUGUCUAUAUGGCAAAUGUGAGAUGCAGUGUAUGGAGCGUCAAUAUUCUAGUAUGAGAAAUUAAUGAUUUAAGUCCUUCUUAAAUGAGGCCAUUUACCCAUAGAGGGUGCCAGGCCCGUAUAACGUUAAUGAUUGCUAGAUGAUGUUUCCAAAGAGUCGUGUUGCUUGAUAGUGCAGCACUAAGUGGGUGGUAAACUCCAUCUAAAACUAAAUAUAACCAUGAGACCGAUAGUAAACAAGUACCGUGAGGGAAAGUUGAAAAGAACUCUGAAUAGAGAGUUAAACAGUACGUGAAACUGCUUAGAGGUUAAGCCCGAUGAACCUGAAUAUCCGUUAUGGAAAAUUCAUCAUUAAAAUUGUAAUAUUUAAAUAAUAUUAUUAAGAAUAAUGUGCAUUUUUUCCAUAUAAGGACAUUGUAAUCUAUUAGCAUAUCCCAAAUUUAUCAUAAAAUAUAACUUAUAGUUUAUUCCAAUUAAAUUGCUUGCAUUUUAACACAGAAUAAAUGUUAUUAAUUUGAUAAAGUGCUGAUAGAUUUAUAUUAUUACAGAGCGUUAAUUUUUCGGAAUUAUAUAAUGGCAUAAUUAUCAUUGAUUUUUGUGUUUAUUAUAUGCUCUUGUAUGAUUAACAAUGCGAAAGAUUCAGGAUACCUUCGGGACCCGUCUUGAAACACGGACCAAGGAGUCUAACAUAUGUGCAAGUUAUUGGGAUGUAAACCUAAUAGCGUAAUUAACUUGACUAAUAAUGGGAUUAGUUUUUUAGCUAUUUAUAGCUAAUUAACACAAUCCCGGGGCGUUUCUAUAUAGUUAUGUAUAAUGUAUAUUUAUAUUAUUUAUGCCUCUAACUGGAACGUACCUUGAGCAUAUAUGCUGUGACCCGAAAGAUGGUGAACUAUACUUGAUCAGGUUGAAGUCAGGGGAAACCCUGAUGGAAGACCGAAACAGUUCUGACGUGCAAAUCGAUUGUCAGAAUUGAGUAUAGGGGCGAAAGACCAAUCGAACCAUCUAGUAGCUGGUUCCUUCCGAAGUUUCCCUCAGGAUAGCUGGUGCAUUUUAAUAUUAUAUAAAAUAAUCUUAUCUGGUAAAGCGAAUGAUUAGAGGCCUUAGGGUCGAAACGAUCUUAACCUAUUCUCAAACUUUAAAUGGGUAAGAACCUUAACUUUCUUGAUAUGAAGUUCAAGGUUAUGAUAUAAUGUGCCCAGUGGGCCACUUUUGGUAAGCAGAACUGGCGCUGUGGGAUGAACCAAACGUAAUGUUACGGUGCCCAAAUUAACAACUCAUGCAGAUACCAUGAAAGGCGUUGGUUGCUUAAAACAGCAGGACGGUGAUCAUGGAAGUCGAAAUCCGCUAAGGAGUGUGUAACAACUCACCUGCCGAAGCAACUAGCCCUUAAAAUGGAUGGCGCUUAAGUUGUAUACCUAUACAUUACCGCUAAAGUAGAUGAUUUAUAUUACUUGUGAUAUAAAUUUUGAAACUUUAGUGAGUAGGAAGGUACAAUGGUAUGCGUAGAAGUGUUUGGCGUAAGCCUGCAUGGAGCUGCCAUUGGUACAGAUCUUGGUGGUAGUAGCAAAUAAUCGAAUGAGACCUUGGAGGACUGAAGUGGAGAAGGGUUUCGUGUGAACAGUGGUUGAUCACGAGUUAGUCGGUCCUAAGUUCAAGGCGAAAGCCGAAAAUUUUCAAGUAAAACAAAAAUGCCUAACUAUAUAAACAAAGCGAAUAUAAUACACUUGAAUAAUUUUGAACGAAAGGGAAUACGGUUCCAAUUCCGUAACCUGUUGAGUAUCCGUUUGUUAUUAAAUAUGGGCCUCGUGCUCAUCCUGGCAACAGGAACGACCAUAAAGAAGCCGUCGAGAGAUAUCGGAAGAGUUUUCUUUUCUGUUUUAUAGCCGUACUACCAUGGAAGUCUUUCGCAGAGAGAUAUGGUAGAUGGGCUAGAAGAGCAUGACAUAUACUGUUGUGUCGAUAUUUUCUCCUCGGACCUUGAAAAUUUAUGGUGGGGACACGCAAACUUCUCAACAGGCCGUACCAAUAUCCGCAGCUGGUCUCCAAGGUGAAGAGUCUCUAGUCGAUAGAAUAAUGUAGGUAAGGGAAGUCGGCAAAUUAGAUCCGUAACUUCGGGAUAAGGAUUGGCUCUGAAGAUUGAGAUAGUCGGGCUUGAUUGGGAAACAAUAACAUGGUUUAUGUGCUCGUUCUGGGUAAAUAGAGUUUCUAGCAUUUAUGUUAGUUACUUGUUCCCCGGAUAGUUUAGUUACGUAGCCAAUUGUGGAACUUUCUUGCUAAAAUUUUUAAGAAUACUAUUUGGGUUAAACCAAUUAGUUCUUAUCAAUUAUAACGAUUAUCAAUUAACAAUCAAUUCAGAACUGGCACGGACUUGGGGAAU